rfam:Drosophila ananassae strain TSC#14024-0371.13 Ctg01_18752, whole genome shotgun sequence.
ACACUUGCAGGACGGGGAGCGUGACAAUAUAUAUAUUUUAUAAACAUAUAUUGCACACCUCCCGGCCUAUAAGUGU